AAACUGGUGUUGGUGGUGGUGGAGAGUGCAUUGGUGGUGGUGGAGACUUGUAUUUGUAGACCGGUGUUGGUGGUGGUGGGGAAUGCUCGGGUGGUGGUGGAGAUUUAUAAACUGGAGUUGGUGGUGGUGGAGACUUGUACUUGUAAUGGUGUACUGGUGCGGGAGAAUGCUUAGGUGGUGGUGGAGACUUGUACUUGUAGACGGGUGUUGGAGGUGGUGGAGAUUUAUACUUGUAGACCGGUGUUGGUGGUGGUGGAGACUUGUACUUAUAGUGAUGUUCUGGUGCGGGAGAAUGCUUAGGUGGUGGUGGAGACUUGUACUUAUAGUGAUGUUCUGGUGCAGGAGAAUGCUUAGGUGGUGGUGGAGAUUUGUACUUAUAAACCGGUGUUGGUGGUGGUGGAGACUUGUACUUAUAAUGAUGCACUGGUGCGGGGGAAUGCUUAGGUGGUGGUGGAGAUUUAUACUUGUAAACCGGUGUUGGUGGUGGUGGAGAAUGUUUUGGCGGAGGUGGAGACUCAAAAUGAUAAGGCGUUGGAGGAGAAUGCAUAGGAGGUGGUGGAGACUUGUACUUGUAAACCGGUGUAGGUGGUGGUGGAGAAUGUUUAGGCGGGGGCGGGGAUUUGUAGUGGUAAGGCGGAGGAGGAGAAUGCUCCGGGGGUGGAGGAGAAUGCUCGGGAGGUGGUGGAGAGGAGUAAGAGUAUUUAGCUGUGGUUUGUGAAGCCAAAUUGAGGGACACCAAUACUACAAGCAAAGACACAAUGAGAGACCUCAUUUUGGAGCCUCUAGCAAUCCUUCCCAUGUUUACUACAACCAAAAGGCU
rnacentral:lncRNA from 1 species